rnacentral:misc_RNA from 1 species
GAAAUGCGAUAAGUAAUGUGAAUUGCAGAAUUCAGUGAAUCAUCGAAUCUUUGAACGCACCUUGCGCCCUCUGGUAUUCCGGAGGGCAUGCCUGUUCGAGCGCCGUUUAACACCUAAGCCAUUGGCUUGCGUUGGCAUCGGUCGUCGCCACGACCGAGCUCAAACUCUGCGAAGCGUCUCCGUCGAGCAAGCACGUAGCGACUUACGAGCGACCUCCGACGGGGACUGGCUCGUCCAACACCGAGUUUGGCCUCGAAUCAGGCGGGAUUACCCGCUGAACUUAA